rnacentral:miRNA from 15 species
UCUGCUCGCUAGAUGUAAGUUGG